rnacentral:rRNA from 1 species
UACGUAGGGUGCAAGCGUUAAUCGGAAUUACUGGGCGUAAAGCGUGCGCAGGCGGUGAUGUAAGACAGAUGUGAAAUCCCCGGGCUCAACCUGGGAACUGCAUUUGUGACUGCAUCGCUGGAGUACGGCAGAGGGGGAUGGAAUUCCGCGUGUAGCAGUGAAAUGCGUAGAUAUGCGGAGGAACACCGAUGGCGAAGGCAGCCUCCUGGGCCAACACUGACGCUCAUGCACGAAAGCGUGGGGAGCAAACAGG